UGGGGAAUCUUGCGCUAAUGCGCGAAAGCGUGACGCAGCGACGCCGCGUGGGGGAUGAAGGCCCUCGGGUCGUAAACCCCUUUCGCCAGGGACGAAGCGAAAGUGACGGUACCUGGAGAAGAAGUCCCGGCUAACUACGUGCCAGCAGCCGCGGUAACACGUAGGGGACGAGCGUUGUCCGGAUUCAUUGGGCGUAAAGAGCGCGUAGGCGGCUCGGAAAGUCGGUCGUGAAAUCCUGGGGCUCAACCCCGGAACUGCGUCCGAUACUUCCGAGCUGGAGGCAGGUAGGGGAGAUCGGAAUUCCUGGUGUAGCGGUGAAAUGCGCAGAUAUCAGGAGGAACACCGGUGGCGAAGGCGGAUCUCUGGGCCUUGCCUGACGCUGAGGCGCGAAAGCUAGGGGAGCGAACAGG
rnacentral:rRNA from 1 species